UUGAACGCUGGCGGCAGGCCUAACACAUGCAGGUCGAGCGGAUGAAGGGAGCUUGCUCCUGGAUUCAGCGGCGGACGGGUGAGUAAUGCCUAGGAAUCUGCCUGGUAGUGGGGGAUAACGUCCGGAAACGGGCGCUAAUACCGCAUACGUCCUGAGGGAGAAAGUGGGGGAUCUUCGGACCUCACGCUAUCAGAUGAGCCUAGGUCGGAUUAGCUAGUUGGUGGGGUAAAGGCCUACCAAGGCGACGAUCCGUAACUGGUCUGAGAGGAUGAUCAGUCACACUGGAACUGAGACACGGUCCAGACUCCUACGGGAGGCAGCAGUGGGGAAUAUUGGACAAUGGGCGAAAGCCUGAUCCAGCCAUGCCGCGUGUGUGAAGAAGGUCUCCGGAUUGUAAAGCACUUUAAGUUGGGAGGAAGGGCAGUAAGUUAAUACCUUGCUGUUUUGACGUUACCAACAGAAUAAGCACCGGCUAACUUCGUG
rnacentral:rRNA from 1 species